ACAAUACUAAUAAUUCAUAAUAAAAAUGCAGUAAUUUGGAAUAACUGGUGCAGAACUAUUAACUUCUUGAACUAGUGAUAAAUGAUGAUCCUGUGUAGCAGUUUUUUGGAUUGUAAGGUUUGUUUUCAAGCCCCUCCGCCGUACCAGGGGGCCCAGUGCAGGGCCCGGUGGGGUGAGGACAUCCACGCUCACCAGCCAACGUCAGUUCGUCUGUUCCUCUAAGGAUCAUCAGGAUUUCCCCCAUCAUGCCUGCCAUCCAGGACCUCUGCUCUUCCAUACAACCUCUCUGCAUUUGGGGUCCACUCCCACCAGUUCCUAACACCACUGGCCCCAGACAAGCAGCCCACCAUUGCCCAGGAAUUCUGAAGAAAUCCAAGGCCCCCCAAGGGACACUCACCCCACGUUCCAGGCAACCACCCAGGAGAGAGCAUGGCAAGGGGAGGAAGACACCCAAGAGAAGUGGGGGAAGAGGAGGAGCCCAACCAGGCUCACCUAUUGUUGGAAGUUUGGAGAGGACCAGAACUCGCACCACAGGGACACUCCCAGUCUCGGAUCUGAUCCCCAACUUAAGGUCUUGCCAGAGGACUCAGGGAUUGAUCUCCUUGCAAAUUUUUACUAACCAGAACCAUCGGAAUGGAGUGAUAGUUAUUUUAUAAUUAUUGGUAACCGAUAUUAUGGUACCUUCCUAUCUAAAACUAAUGUAAAACAGCUUCUUCAUGAUUAACAACAACCCAUAUAUCUAUUGGCAAACUACGCUGCUAAUAGGCUCAUCAUGUGCAGUCAGUUGGGGGAACUGGACCCCAGACGAAGAGCACAGCGCUGAUUUGCAAAAAGUAACAUAUGGCGCCAAAAAGAAAGAUAACCAGCAAACAUCAACUGUGAAUAAUUUAAGACAACAGAUGUGCAGACAUACUAAACCUCUGUCCUCCACAGGUCUGACCACAAACAGCCAUUGCACCAGGCAAACACCGUUUGGUACAAACUCAGCGGCCAAUAAUCAUGAAGUCACGCUUACCCCUGUUCUCUGAGGAUGGACAGUAGCUGGAUGCUCAGACAUGCACACAAACACGCAAUCAGAAAUGCUUGAAGGUGACUUGUGCAUGCAGCCAGGAGGUGUCUUGGUGUAGAGUGAAGAAUGCGCAUUUGGACUCACUCCGACAGUUAGGUCAAGCUUAAAAAAAGCCUCAGCCUAAGGCUCUACUCCUUGGUCUGACACACCACGGACCUCCGUCUUGCCACAAGCUUCAGCACGCUUGCUCUCAUGUCAGAUAACGACUGACUUCAAAGCCUAGAUCUUGCUUUAACCAUCAAAAAUGACAAAUCCACGCUAAAGGCCAACAUUGGCUUUUGUCUAGUUAACAUUCAGCCCACAAUCAUUUGUCAGAGCAAAAAUGGAGCCAUCUGAAUCUCAGGAAGAUGAAUUUAGUCUUCUUAAGGUUAACAAAUGAUGUGCGAAUCAGUUUUGAACGAACAAACCAAUCAGAAGGUGAAGAAUUCAUAUUUAUCCCUGAACUUCUGACUUUUAGGUUGGAUUUUGUUCUGUUUUUCUCAAAGUAAAUCUAAACACACUUUAAUGUUUUCUCAGGGAUAAUAUUUUACUGCAAAAAGUGGAAAAAUAAACCUUUCAAAAUAGACUUGUACAAGUGUGGGGCUAAAUAGAAAAAUUGGAUAUCAUGAUAUAUAUUAUUUUAUAUCACAAUAACGAUAUAUAUCACGAUACACCACAAUUAAGUAUACUUUUAGUUAAUGUCAAAAAUGCUAUUUCUUACUUUUCUCUGACUUUAUUUUUUUAGGUAACUUAAUAAUUACAAAUGGGAAACAUUUUUUUGAGUGCACAACAGUUUUAAAUUUAUUAGUUUAGCAACAAAUAAAAGAGAUAUAAAAAACAGAAGAGAAAUGGUACAAUAUCGCCCAGGCGAUAUGUAUCGUCAUAUCGCCCAGUACCAGCCUGCACAAUACAUCGCAAAUUUAUCGGCUUCACAAUAUCAACCUGGGUAACAUAUAUAUUGAAAAAAUGACUUAAAUUGCAAUAAAUUGUUACCUUAAAUGUUGCAAAAACAGUCUUAUGGCAGCUUGACGUAUUUAAGAAAUUAAAUAGAGCCCUCUUCACACUUGACCAAUCGGAUGGAUCUUUUUAAUGUUAAAUACUCGCCUCUUAUGUUGACAUGGGUCACUUAUAAUUUAAGUUCUGUUGAACUUAUUAAAAUAAAAUUGAUGCAGUUACAUUGAAAUUAUAUAUUAGUUUUUUUGCUACAUGGUCAUGUAUCGUAAAUCAUAUCGUCAUUGCGAUAUUUAUCACUAAUAUCACACAUUGCAAGUUUUUUCAAUAUCGUCCAGCCCUAUUUUAAAUUUAGACUUUCACAUGGAGAUGAUGGUGUGGAACAAGGCUCUGCAACCUUUAACACCACAAGAGCCAUUGGGUCCAGUUUCUGACAGACCAGAACCCAGCAAGAGCCACUAAAUCCUACUUAAUCCUUCAGAAAAUACACUUUACUUUUUUAUGUGGCCAUUUAGCCAUUCCUUUAGAAAAUGUAGCUUUCAAAUAUUUACAAUAACUGAAUUGAAAAAGUGUGAUUUCUUUCUAUAAAUAACAACAUUAAAGUAUUUACUUUUGACAGCAGCAAAUACAAGUUUCUUUAAAAAAUACCGUCUAUGUCAAAUAAGAUCAUUUUGAAAUUAAAAAUUCAAGAAAAUCAAGUCAAACGUGACAUUUUCUUUCAUUAUGACAACAGUUAGAUGCUAGCGUGUAGCAUAUAUUAAGAAGUGCUAAAAUCAACUAAACUGUUUAAUAUUUAUUAAAAUUGUUAGCACUUUUCUUAAAACCAAAGAGCCAUAAUAGAAGGGUAAAAGAGCUGCAUAUGGCAGCAGGUUUCAGACCGCCAUGUGUGGAAGAACACUGAGUUCUAACUUUGGGCAGCUCAAUACUGAUAAAUGUAACAAGUUUUCGGAGGAUAAGUAGCAGUUUUUGCGACUUAUAUGAGAUUUCUUAAAAAUAAUUAUUCUUAAAUUUGAUAUUUUUCCUCUAACAACCACUAGAGGGCACUUUAGGCAUUUGAAUCAGCAUUAGCAAAGCAGAAGAAGAAGAAGAAGAAGAAGAAGAAGAAGAAGAAGAAGAAGAAGCGUUGCUCUUUUGAUGCUAGCUUCUUCCACACACAGGAGGAACAUCUAGUUUACAAACACAUGUUUUUAAGUAAUGCAUUUGAUGUAUGUCAAAAAAGAAGAAUCAAAUAUAAGUUAGCAUUGUUCUCCCAAGGGUGCAACUUAUAUUUGAAUUUUUCUUCUUAAUUAUGCACUUUUUGGAUGCUGCAACUUAUACUCUGAAGCGACUUAUAGUCAGAAAAAUAUGGUAUAUAUUUUAAAAAAAUAAAAAAAAUCCUCAAAGUAAAUUCAUUUUGCUUUAUGAAGAGAUUAAAUGAAAUCAAUAGGUCUCAAUUGAUAAAAAAAAAUCUAUAUUGUUUAGAGUUGUCAGGCUAAUCAAGUUUAGUAUUGGAGGAACAACCUUCCUCUAAACUCAACAACAGUAGCUUGUUUUAUUCUGAACACUACAGAUCAGUUGGAUCAUUUUCAUGUUUUUGUAAAAUACAUUAGUGUGGACAAAGUCUUGGGCUUCUUUCACCACAUUUGAUUGUCCUGCAGACGUGGUAGAAAUGGCUGGAGAACGAUAACAAAUUUCACAUAUUUGUCUGCUCCGGUUUGCUUUCACACACCACGCUCCCUAAAGCAAACGAAUGACAGAAGCAGACCAAACUGCCUGGAAACGUUUCUCAGAUCUGUGCGCUGCUCACUUUAGGGCGGAGCUCUCUGACAAAAAACAGGAAAAAAGAAAAA